UACGUAGGGGGCGAGCGUUGUCCGGAUUUAUUGGGCGUAAAGAGCGUGUAGGCGGCCAGGUAGGUCUGCUGUGAAAACUCGAGGCUCAACCUCGAGACGUCGGCGGAAACCAUCUGGCUAGAGUCCGGAAGAGGAGAGUGGAAUUCCUGGUGUAGCGGUGAAAUGCGCAGAUAUCAGGAAGAACACCCGUGGCGAAGGCGGCUCUCUGGGACGGUACUGACGCUGAGACGCGAAAAGCGUGGGGGAGCGAAACAGG
rnacentral:rRNA from 1 species